rnacentral:lncRNA from 1 species
CCAAACCAACAACAUUCUCCGGAUAGUCCACCUACGUCUAUGGAUUUGCAUAUUAGAACUAGUAGUCAUGAUUUCAACAUGGAAGGCAAUUUUGGUAGAAGCUUACAUCUUGUUCCAUUUGGCCCAAACCAACAACAAUCACCGAAAAGUCCACCUAUGUUGACGGACCUGCAGACUAAAAUAAGUCGUCAUGCUUUCAAGAUGGAAGGUGGUUUUGGUAGAAGCUUACGCCUUGUUCCAAGUGGCCCAAACCAACAACAUUCUCCGGAC